GAAAAAUGAAACUUAACCCAUCUGUCAAACCUGUCACUAACACAGUGCAAAUUUAAAACAAGUCUGAAAUCACAAAAAUCAUGUAGUAAGCAGAACAAUUGUUUGGAGAAAAUGUGGUGAAGCCAAAUGAUUGACCCAACAUAUAUGUCGAAAGAUCCAGCGACUUGCCCGUACCGAUAAGGAUCACAACGUACAAAUACUCAACCCCCACCACUGUCCAGUUUUUACAAAAACAAAAAGUCCGGAGCCACUCCGAAAAAACAGAUCCUAUAGAAUCUACAAACCGAGGCACAAAACUCUGCCAGUGGUAUAGACGACGCAGGGCUCUAAGGGAACUCGAUAAACUCACGAGGCUUGAACGAAAGAGGCUCGAAUCUUUGCAGCUAGAGAAAGCACGCCGUAUAAGGGAAACAGAAUUCUUGGAACUACUCGAGCAAAGAGAAAAGGAGAUACGUUACGCUGAACAACAGCUCCAAUUAACACCUAAGAUUGAUUACUCCGAAAAAAAGCUGAAGAAACAGAAAAAAUUGCCUAAAACCGCCAAUCUGGACAGCGUAGGAGUUUCUGGUUACCCAAACAAGCGUUUUAAGAGACGUCAGAAAAUUAAGUACACAGAAGCAAAGCCAGUUUUGACUUCCAGAAAGGUAGCCACAAAGCCACUAAAAGACCCCAAGGAUUCUUUCAAUGAAAGAUUCGGGAACUUCUGCUACCGUGUUUGCUGUCAGUGCUACUGCUGCGUCUCAUUCAUUAUCAUAAUUGGCAUUCUUUUUAUGUUCCUUUUUUAAACACUGUAUAAUAAAAUAGCAGGGAACGUUCAUGUUUCAAUAAAAAUAU
rnacentral:misc_RNA from 1 species